rnacentral:rRNA from 1 species
UACACUCCUACGGGAGGCAGCAGUGGGGAAUAUUGCACAAUGGGCGCAAGCCUGAUGCAGCCAUGCCGCGUGUAUGAAGAAGGCCUUCGGGUUGUAAAGUACUUUCAGCGGGGAGGAAGGCGAUAAGGUUAAUAACCUUGUUGAUUGACGUUACCCGCAGAAGAAGCACCGGCUAACUCCGUCCCAGCAGCCGCGGUAAUACGGAGGGUGCAAGCGUUAAUCGGAAUUACUGGGCGUAAAGCGCACGCAGGCGGUCUGUCAAGUCGGAUGUGAAAUCCCCGGGCUCAACCUGGGAACUGCAUUCGAAACUGGCAGGCUAGAGUCUUGUAGAGGGGGGUAGAAUUCCAGGUGUAGCGGUGAAAUGCGUAGAGAUCUGGAGGAAUACCGGUGGCGAAGGCGGCCCCCUGGACAAAGACUGACGCUCAGGUGCGAAAGCGUGGGGAGCAAACAGGAUUAGAAACCCGGGUAGUCCC